rnacentral:lncRNA from 1 species
ACACUUGCUGCCUCCUCUGCCUGGAACUCUCUCCCUCUGCUCUCACAGGGUUCCCUAAGUGUCGCUUCCUCCAAGAAGCCCUCCCUGAUGAGUUGAGCCACUUUAGUUUGUGCUCAGGCUCACCCUGCACGUCUUGGUUGCUCUCAUCACUGUAAUGAUCUAAAACACACGUCUGCUCAUGAGACCCGCAUCCCACCCCCGAUGCUGGGGCCGCUCUUGGAUUUUCAUGCCUGCUGCCAGCACCCAGGGGGAGCUCCGGAAAUGUCUGCUGGGGGCUCGGAAUACCCACCUUUCUGGUAAUGCAGCCCAGCGGGUCCCAGCCUCGUUUUCCAGCCCUCACUCAAAAUGGAGUCGCUCUGGUUCGAACGCCUCUGACAAGUGUGUACCUACGUGUCAGGGUUGGAGUGCCAUGGUGUGGUCAUAGCCCACUGAAGCCUCAAACCUCUGGGCUGAAGCCAUCCUUCCGCCUCAGCCUCCCAAGUAGCUGGGACCAUAGGUGCAUGGCACUGUGCCUGGCACUGUCUGAAUGCAUACAGCUGCGUAGCAUCGUGGUAAGAACACCCGCCCUGACAUCACACAGACCUGCAUCCACGUCCCAGCUGAGCCUCAGUUCUCACAUCUGCAAAAUGGGGAGAACAACAGCAGCAGCGUCCUGAGGCUGGGGUGAGGACCGAGUGAAAAACCUUUGUCGCAUCUUUGGGCAUCGCAGGAGUUCAAUAAAUGUUAGCUAUCGUUGUCACUUU